AAGACCGUACUUUUACAGGAUCAAAUUCUACAGUACAGUUCAGUUCUACUUUGUUUUCAAAGUUGACAUCACAAAUGACUUUGAUGAUCGUAUGUGACCACGUCCGUUGACUCGGGAUGUCGGCCAGAAACUCGAAUUGAGUUUUGAGUUGCUGGCUCUUGAUGAACGUCCACCGUUGCUAUUCCAAGACGGUGUGAGCGGACGCUGGUGUUAUGAGAAGU
rfam:Saprolegnia parasitica CBS 223.65 unplaced genomic scaffold supercont2.56, whole genome shotgun sequence.